GUUGCUUCGGUAACUGACCUAGCGGCGGACGGGUGAGUAAUACUUAGGAAUCUGCCUAUUAAUGGGGGACAACAUCUCGAAAGGGAUGCUAAUACCGCAUACGCCCUACGGGGGAAAGCAGGGGAUCACUUGUGACCUUGCGUUAAUAGAUGAGCCUAAGUCGGAUUAGCUAGUUGGUGGGGUAAAGGCCUACCAAGGCGACGAUCUGUAGCGGGUCUGAGAGGAUGAUCCGCCACACUGGGACUGAGACACGGCCCGGACUCCUACGGGAGGCAGCAGUGGGGAAUAUUGGACAAUGGGCGGAAGCCUGAUCCAGCCAUGCCGCGUGUGUGAAGAAGGCCUUUUGGUUGUAAAGCACUUUAAGCGAGGAGGAGGCUACUAGUACUAAUACUACUGGAUAGUGGACGUUACUCGCAGAAUAAGCACCGGCUAACUCUGUGCCAGCAGCCGCGGUAAUACAGAGGGUGCGAGCGUUAAUCGGAUUUACUGGGCGUAAAGCGUGCGUAGGCGGCUUUUUAAGUCGGAUGUGAAAUCCCCGAGCUUAACUUGGGAAUUGCAUUCGAUACUGGGAAGCUAGAGUAUGGGAGAGGAUGGUAGAAUUCCANGUGUANCGGUGAAAUGCGUAGAGAUCUGGAGGAAUACCGAUGGCGAAGGCAGCCAUCUGGCCUAAUACUGACGCUGAGGUACGAAAGCAUGGGGAGCAAACAGGAUUAGAUACCCUGGUAGUCCAUGCCGUAAACGAUGUCUACUAGCCGUUGGGGCCUUUGAGGCUUUAGUGGCGCAGCUAACGCGAUAAGUAGACCGCCUGGGGAGUACGGUCGCAAGACUAAAACUCAAAUGAAUUGACGGGGGCCCGCACAAGCGGUGGAGCAUGUGGUUUAAUUCGAUGCAACGCGAAGAACCUUACCUGGUCUUGACAUAGUAAGAACUUUCCAGAGAUGGAUUGGUGCCUUCGGGAACUUACAUACAGGUGCUGCAUGGCUGUCGUCAGCUCGUGUCGUGAGAUGUUGGGUUAAGUCCCGCAACGAGCGCAACCCUUUUCCUUAUUUGCCAGCGGGUUAAGCCGGGAACUUUAAGGAUACUGCCAGUGACAAACUGGAGGGAGGCGGGGACGACGUCAAGUCAUCAUGGCCCUUACGACCAGGGCUACACACGUGCUACAAUGGUCGGUACAAAGGGUUGCUACCUAGCGAUAGGAUGCUAAUCUCAAAAAGCCGAUCGUAGUCCGGAUUGGGGUCUGCAACUCGACUCCAUGA
rnacentral:rRNA from 1 species